GUCCUUCUCCCCCUCGCAGCGCUCCACGCCACUCUGGUUGGUCUUCUCCAGCUCCCAGUUGGCGUUGUAGUAAAUGCAUUCCCUCGUCUCUGCCUCCCCGUGACCUGGUCCUGCGCCCAAAGUUGCACAGAGCACGGCCAAAGUCAGCCACGAAGCGCUCAUAUUCCUUCACUCGGUGUGGUUUUGCGUUUUGGUUUUUGUUUGUUUGUUUGUUUGUUUCUCUCUCUCUCUCCUCGCGUGCCCCUCUUUCCCAAGGGGAAAUAUAAAACGUAUUCAAAAUAAAGAGCUGGAAGCAGAGGGGAAAGGAGGAAGGAAGCGACGCGGUGCUCCUUCGCGAGAAAAAAAAAAAAGAAAAAAAAAGAAAAAAAAUAAAGAAAAAUAAAUGAGGAGGGAAAAAAAAAAAUCCUGAAAAAUCGGAUUUAAUUCCUUCGCAGUUGCAAAAUGUAUCCAGUGGAGAGGAAGAGCCCGACCCGCUCCGCCCGGCCCCGCCGCUCGCUCCGCGCUUUCCAAGAGUUUCUUUCGCUGCGCUUUUGUGCUGGGAGCGCGGCGUGCACCGCACACCGCCUCCCCCCACUCCUCCUCCUCCUCCUCCUCUUCUCCUCCUCCUCCCAACCCAACCCAACCCCUCCGGCUCCCCCAGCAGUGAGGCCGAGCGCACACGCCCCCCUCCGCUCGGCUUUCCGCGCAAUUCUCGCGCAACGCACCCCCACCCCUUUUUCUUUAUUAUUAUUUUUUUUCUUCUGUAUGUUUGUUGUUGUUUUCUUUUUCCCCCUUUUUUAUUUUCGCUUUUCCCUCCCCCCACGCUCCCCUCGGAGGAGAAACUUUGCGAGGGGAUCCGCGUCCAGGCAAGAGCCCGCGGAGGGGGCGCGGGGCGCGGCAUCGCGAAGGAGAGAUUGGGGCGGGGAGUUCCAUAGGGGGAGAUUAAAAAAUAAAUAAAUUGGGGGAAAAAAAGAUUACCGGGGAGGGGGGUUGGGGGGUGGGUAGGAAAGGAGAUUAAUUAUUUUUUUUUUAAUUAUUGGGGAAAAAAAAAAAAAAAAAAACCUGAACCGAGUCCAAAAUGGCUUCUAAAAAAAAUGGGAGAAGCCAAAGCGGAGCCAACGAGGGGGAAACCCGGAUGUUUGAUACAAAGAGGGCUGGAGGGGGGCGGAGCGGCGCGGGGGCUCCGCAGCUCUGAGUGGGGCGCGGCGCUGCCCGUCAACCCCGCGGAGCGCCGCGCACCGCCCGCGGCUCCUGCGGCCGCGCUGCGCCGGGAGGUGCGGGGCUGGGGGUGCGGGGGGAGCCCCUGCGCUGUCCUUGUUAGGGCCCUCCCGGGGUUAGCGGGCUUCUCUCCAUCGCCAGCGAUGCGGGCGCUGCGCUCCGCCCGCGAUUUCUUGCAAUUAUAAGGCGAUCGUGCGGAAUUGGGGAGCCCGGAGAGGUCUUAGGGGGGUGAAAAAAGGGGGGUGGUCAGCUUGGGUGCCCUACCUAAGCUUUGGGGAUUUUGCCCUGCAGGGAGGUAAGAGGAAAUGGAAAUCGUUCUCUGCAAACUUUGGGAAGCGCUUUGCUGCGAGGAGAAAUUCUGGUGGGGUUUCUUUUUUUUUUUUUUUCCCCACCUUUGGGAAACUUAGCUGUGUAUGUGUAACAGCCAUGGAACGCGCUCUGAGCUGUAUAAGCGGGAUCCCAAGUGGAGCUGCAAGGAGCUGAUGACCGGUAUCCUUCAUGCUGCCGUGCUUCCUCAUGCGUGUGCUGCGUGGAAGGGGGGGGGCACCCACAGAACCUCACACACACGGCAUGGGGAGGUCAUGGGGAUGGUGCAGCUGGUGCAGUUGCAGGAAAGCAUCCAAAAUAAUACAAACGCGGGGCAAACAGCACCGAAACCAAAGCCCGCAGGGAGUCAGGAGAAAGCAAGGUGUGUUGUGGCACCUGGGUAAGUUAAAGCGUGGGUGGGAGAUGAGAUGGAGAUGAUGUGUUUGUGAGAGGGCAGAGCGGGGGGGCUGAGCCCUGCUCCCUGCAUUGGCACAGUCUGCCCAUGGAGGCAGUGGGGUCACUGACCAUGGAGGACAUCAAGAGCCGUGGAGAUGUGGCACUGGGAGACAUAGUGGGCAUGGUGGGGUGGGUUGAUGGUUGGACAAGAUGGUCUUAGAGGUCUUUUGGUCCUUAAUGGUUCUACCAUUCUGUGAUUCUGUGACUGCACGGGGGUGCAGUGGGACUGGAGAUGGGUGCAGUGGGGAGAGGGGGGUUCCUGGCUGAUGCUCAGGGAAUGUCACAGCUUCAAGGGAAGACCAAACGUGAGCCAACAUCUCCUACAGGGCUGCUUGUUUUGUUGAAGGACAAGCUCUGAAACAGCUGAAGAAUGGAGGAAUGGGCGGGACAGUGAAAUAUAAACAUGCUGGCAUCCGUCAGUAUCCAUCCUGCAUGUUCAGCUCUGACCAAGAGAAGCGCAGCCCUCCAGUCGGGCUCCCCAGUCACAGAAUCACACACAGAAUCACAGAAUGGCCUGGGUUGGAAGGGACCUCAGGGAUCAUGAAUCUCCAACCCCCCUGCUGCAUGCAGGGCCACCAACCUCCCCAUUUAAUACUAGACCAGGCUGCCCAGGGUUUCAAUCACAGCACCGUCACGGAGUCCCUUUCCCAGCAUCCCAAUUUGUGCCCUAUGGCCCCCAGGGUGAGUUUUGCCCCUGUGUAAGCAAUCCCCCCCUGUUCUCCUUUAUCCCCUGUGCACCUGGGCGGCAUCCGCCUCGCUUACAUUGUUUCACAGGGAGGUGUUUACCCGCCCGAAAAGCUAAAAUGUUUUCACCUCUUGCAACUUGAAAGCACAGGAGCUGUAUGGCGGAUGGGAAUGUUACAGCCUGGGCACGAGGGCACUCGAAAACCUCACCAACCUUCAGGAGUUUUGGAAACGGGGCUGGAGGGAGGUAGCGGUUAGGGUUAGGGUUAGGGUUAGGGUUAGGUGCCAUCAUUGCACCCUGCGGUCUGAAAGCCCUCCUGCAUUUAAAACACAUUCUGUCCGGGCUGGUUUCGUGCCGCCCAGAGUCCUGUGACGCUCAAUCUUUGCCGUGUGCCAUUUGGAACAAGUGGGCUGCGUGCAUCCCGAUACCCCGUAUGUGAUGAAGGUAUUGGGAUCGCUUAAGCCGGCACAGAGCUGCGGUGCUCGCGUGUCAUUUGUCUUCAAAUCCUAUUGUAGCGCUCGUGAGAUGUAAUUUCUGCAGUGAAUGGCAAUGUGUGCUGACAGAGGUGUUAUAAAACACGGAAAAUACGGAGGGAAGGGACCCGGCGUUUCCUUUCUCUCCCCCUUUAUGCACUGACGUGGAUUUAUUUUGCAGCGUGCAGGGCAGUGAUGCAGCCCCUCUGAUCGCUCUUCAGCCCUGUGAGGGAACCCACAUUGCCUGCAACAGGUGAGGAGCACGGACUGGGGGACCCAGGGCAGCAAAAUGGUGUGUUCUGGCUGCAUUUCCCAUCGUGGUUCCUCACGCAGUGCUGUGGGUAGGAUAGGAGGCAUGCACCAUUCUCAAAAUGCCUGGGCUAAGAGAAACAGAAAUUGUAUAUGACUUCAUGUGAGUAAGCUUGAGCAAAUAAAUUCUCCCUUUACCUGCUGUGUCGCCAUUAAGUCCUUCCCGAUAAUGCGUUCCAUGGAACCGGGUCUCAAUAACACGUAGGUCGCUCCGAAAGUAAUGCCUCUUAUUUAUUUCCAUGGAAACUACAACUGAUACAAAGAGUGCAAUAGCAUUAUUUGAUAGUGCAAACCCUCAGCUACAAACCACUGUUUUUCAGUGUAGGCAUCACCAUUAGCUAUGCAUUUUCCCCAGCCAUGAACAAGUCUGCAUGCCACGCUUGUACAAAUCUGCACCGUUUCACAGCUGCUAUGAUGGAGUUAUUGCUGGGAGUCUGACUUUCACUCUGCUCACAUCUACUGUUAGGUCUCCAUAACCAUUCAGCAAGCAUUGAUGAAUGCCAAUGGCUGCCAUUUUUUUCUGCAUAGAGAAAUUGAAUUCCACACCUUUUCUUUAUAGGCACUUUCAUGUCAGACACCAUUCUGUCUGACUGCCCCUCUGCUGCCAUCUGCCACAUGGCAACAAAAUGUAAUGGAAUAUGGUUGGAAAGGUUCGACCUCUUUUGCCAUCCUACCAACAUCCACCUCUGACGAUGUGAACCAGCAUCACAAAAUAGGAGGCAUUACUUUCGGAACAGCCCUUGUGUAACAGUGUCCUAAGUUGUCAGUCGGGAGCUACAAUUAACUUCCCUGGUAUUUCUAUAUUUGCAGCAGCUCUAAAUGAGAGCCGGGACCUCCAGACGCUCCUGUGCACCAUCCCUGCCGCUGUCUGAAUAAGCUCGUGGGUUUUGCACUAAAAAAGCCCCCCCCCCCUGUGCUGACAAAUCUGCCCUUUGCGGUCUGGCUUCAGCAGGGCCAGUAAAAAUAGUGAGGGAUGGGGCAGACACUGCUGCUUUCAGGGCUUUUCUUAGCUCCGGGCUACAGAGCGAGGCAUCAGGUGCUGACAGCUUGGGGGGUUACAGCGGGCGAAGGGGUCCGUUCCUGAGAUGCCCAUAGACCAACAGUUUUGUGAGCUGCCACAACUGGGUUUUUUCCUUGUGGUUUUUCUUUGGUUGUAUUUUAAGUAGCAGCAGGCAGCAUCAGAGCCACACAACAAAGCCUCCCAAAAAAAAAAAGCAGAGGCCCGGCCUUAAUCCACACCCCCAACCCUGACAGCAGCCGGGAACCACAGCACGUCCGUGCUCAGCAUGGAGACUUCUGCACUCAGACAAGGAGGAUUAUGGGCAUCAUAUGACUGACUGCAAUGACGGUGUGUGCCUAAUUGGUGAAGGGCUGCGUUUUCUAUCUUUAACACAGGACACAAAGAGCCAGCGGGCUGCCUCAUGCACAAGGUUCCUUUCAGGUGCUUUCUUCACUGUGCUUUACCCAGAGGGCUGUGGAUGCCCUGUCCCUGGAGGUGUCCAAGGUCAGGUUGGAUGGGGCUUUGGAUAAGCCGGUCUGGUAGGAGGUGUUUGCCCAUGGAAGGGUUGGAACUGGAUGGGUCCCUUCUAACUCAAUUCAUUCUGUGAUGAUGCUGACACAGCUGAGCUGGAGGGCAAGGCAUGAAGCAUUGCCGGGCUCAGUGCGUGCUUGGAUCAGGUCAGGGCAGCAUUAAAUGCUGCACUCCUUUGAGUGCCUGCCAGCCAUGGGGUUUUGCAGUGUCUGAAGCCCAGGAAUGCAUCAUUCCUUCAAUCAGAAGAACACAUUUGGUUGCAUGUCCCACCACCCACUUCAGUUACCAUCCUCUAUACGUGAGUAUAGUAUGGAAUCAUAGAAUGGCUUGUGUUGGAAGGGACCUCAAAGCCCACCCAGCUCCACCUCUGCCGUGAGCACCUCCAGAGAUGGGGCACCCACAGCUUCUGGCUGCCUGUGCCAGCGCCUCACCACUCUCUGCGUAAAGAAUUUCCUCCUCACAUGUAACCUAAAUCUGCCCUCUUUUUAGUUUUAAGAACAUUUCCCCUUGUCCUAUCACUGUCAGACCAUAAAUUUGCCCACAUUGUCUUCAGUUGUUGAUACUUGACCUGAAAAUACAGCUACUCUACAGUGUGUAUGAGCAACACAGAGCCAAACGCUCACCUCUCCAGCUCCCUUGCCUUCCUCCCUCCCUAGGUGUUUGGUUGGCAGAAGAGCAUCAUCCUUCAAAUUCCAAGUUUUAUUUAAAAAGCUGGACUUGGCCCUUUAAAACCAUUUGCAAUCCAUCAGUGAGAAGGUUCACAUGGAAGCAUCAUGCCACUGAAAUCAUCCAUGCCAGCGGGGAUAUUUCAACCAACCCCAUCCUUCCUGCUGCCGUCUCUGCAGCCAGCUGGACCACGCUGCAGCUUUGGCUUUCAGCUCUUACCUGUGGCCUUGUGCUUUCUGACACGCUCAAAGCACACAUAGAAGGACCAAUAAAACACGUCCCAGAGCAUCUGCUGUAUUUUUAGAGUUUGUCCCAGAUUAUUGGCCUUUGUUCCAGAUUUCAGUGGUGAGAGUAUAAGAAUGCCCAGUGGGGCCAAAUGCAUCCUGCACUGCACUCCUGAAGGCUUGAAUCAGGAAAAAUACUCUCCCAGAGAAGAUAAAUAAUUAAGUUUUUGUGGCAAAUACUGCCAUUAGCAGGAGGUGAUAAGCAUUCAAGACUACAGUGUAUAUAGAGCAAGGCAGAUGCACUGAGCUUCAAAUUGCAACAUUGCUCUGUUAUGUUGUACUGAGUAAUGAACUGGGCAUCUCUGGCACAGUGAUUUUUCUUUUGUUUGUUUUGGGUCCACGUUUUCCUUUUACACCAUGGAUGAUGGCCUUUGCUUACUGGGAGCUAAGUUGUCUGGAGGAGACCCAUCUUCAUGUGCUGGCAGCUGGUGAAGUGCAAAUGGAGAGUGACUACAAAGACCAGAGUGUGAGUUACCAGCUGAGACUUUUGGACCUGGGAUAACAAGCUGCAAACCUCUUCAACUGCCUCACGCGUCAAAAGACUCUCCAUCUGUCAUUAAUAUGCAUCAAAGAUAAGGAUGCCUGUGGGUCAGGAUGAGCAGAAAAACAGUCCUACUCUGCAACAGAGAAUUCAAGGAGCCCAGGGACCUAACCCAAAUCUGGAGGGAGAGUUUUAGAAAAGCAUUUAAGUGGCAGGUUCCAGUGCAAGUCAGAACCAUGCUUGUAAAUCAACAAGAUCCUUUAAAAAUCCCACCGUGUCACCUGCCCUCAGCAUCUAGAGUGGUUGUUUAUUUUGCAGACAUCUUCACAAUUCCAUUCUCAAGAUUAUAAUUCACUUGGUGGUACCGCAGUUCUCGCACCCUUGAAGUUAAGUAAAUGGUUAAGUGCAGUGGUGGUUCAGAGCUAGAAGACUCUCUACCUUGCAGGAUUGAGCCCUUUAAUCUAUUCUUAUUUCCUUUUCAAUUUCUGCAAGUAACCCCAAGCAAGCUGGAAACACUAAGUGCAAAGUUACGGGAGAUGACUGUGGCAAUUUCUGAAUGACAAGAGCAUUUAAAAGAAAUGUCAAGAGUCUGUGGGCUGCAAGCUUUUAUGUUUCAAGGAGAAACAAAAAGAAAGGAGGGACAAUAAAUCAAACACAACAGCUUAGCGUGCUCCAUCUCUCAGAGUUAACCUCUUGAAAGCCAUGUCCCCGGCACAGAGUGGGCCACACUCUUUGAUAGGGUCCAUUAUUCUCUGUAGAGCAAUAGAGGUGGUAUGGUGGGCUCCUCCGUGCGUGCCCAGGGGCUGUGUACACUGCGCCUUGCUUAACAUGUGCUCUGCAUUUAUGGGUUAACAUCAAACAUGAGCUGAUUUAUAAUUCUUAAUCAAAAAAGGAUUAUAACCUAAUAAAUCCUACUAACAUAUUCUGUCUGGAGGUUAUGUGGUGUAGUUGUAUAAUAUACUGGUAGCCUCAUUCUCCUAAGACUGGAAGACUGGACAAAGUUUUAUACUUGUCAAACAACUGUUCCCUUUGCUUAAAUGGAUCAAGACCCUUUAAGCACCAUGAUGCAAAUGGUCAUCCCUCUGAAUGGAGUCUUUCGUGCUAUAACAAGUUUUGAAGUACCUAGAAGCAUACCAGGAAACUUGCUGCACCUCUGUGCACUGGAUGUCUCAUCUCACUUCAAAGGCUCACUAGUGCUGGUUAAGGCUUAACUGUUGGCCAUUAGCUGAAUCUAAGCAUGAAACAUGUCAAACACAUCACCGAUGGUAGUCAGAGCCCUAAUGAGACCUCAAGAACUAACUAAUAGAGGCUAAGUGACAGUUUGUACAGAGCCUUUGUUUUCCAAGUUAAAAAAACGUUGGCACAAAAGACAAGUUAACCCUCUGUUUUGGAUUUUCUGAAUUUUGGAUCUCCUACCUAGACAGGCAGGUAUUAUUGCAGGGAACCUGUAGGUAAUCCAGACCUGCCAAUUAUCUGAGGAGGUUUCUGAGCCUUCUGUUCCCAAAGAAUGAUCAUCUUCUCUCCAAUCCAUACUCUGCCUCCCAGCAGAAGUCUGUUCUGGAAGAUCGUUUUACUUCCCGGGAGACCUAAUUAACACUAAAGACUAAUGGAGGCUAUUGUGUAGAGAUUUUUUUUUUUCUUUAAUUUUGACUUUAGUGCCAUUUUAGAAGCUUCUCCUCCCUGCUCUUUAUUUGCACACAAUAACUAAAACACCACAGUGGGGAAGAUGUGGCCAAGGAGACUCAUGGUAAUUUCAAACUAGAAAUAAGCAUUAUGUUGUUGCCUUGUGCUUCUCUUCUGUGUUUGCACCCACAGGUGGUUUCAGCCUCAUCUUAUAGAUACCUUAUAGCUGAGGAUGGUGUCUUUGUACACAAUACAUGUUCUUGGCAUUAUGAAGCUCAGUGGCUCUUCAAUGAACAAGAUCUCAACAGAAAUUCCUCAUCUUGUUCCAUCUUCCACUGGAAAAGAGUGUCAGUGGGGCAACCCAAGGCAUAAUAACCUCAAAAGAAGGAUAGAGUUAUUCCUUCGUAUGCCUUUAAUGAAAGGUUUUCAAACCAAUCAGACAAAUUGUUCAGGAUCAACAAAGCCCAUGUCAGUAGGAUUGCUCUCACUCACGUGGGGAGAGCAUGGAAAGAAAAUUUGUUAGAAUUGAUCUCAGGUUGGAUAUUAGAAAGAGUAGUGGUAAUGCAUUGGCACAGGCUGCCUGGGGAUGUGGUGGAGUCACCAUCCCUGCAGGUGUUCCAGAACUGUGGAGAUGUGGCACUGAGGGACGUGGUCAGUGGGCAUGCUGGGGAUGGGUCGAUGGUUGGACUAAAUGAUCUUAGUGAUCUUUUCCAGACUUAAUGACUCCGUGAUUCUGUGAUCCACAGAAUUGUAAUGAUUGCAACAAUUUGGUUUGGAAUGUUUCUCAGAACAGCUACAACCUUGAAGACACAGACCUGGAGAAAGCAACUCUUUGGGCCCUUUUCCAUUAGGCUACAGCUAAAACCUAUAGUUUCUUCAGAGCUCAGCUAAAACAAGCCUAGGCUGACUUCAUUAGUUGCAGACUCUUAUAAUUCUCUUCAUCAGUAGGCCUUGGACAGAGAUUCAUACCCUUUUGCCUUAAUCCAUCUCUUUUUGAAAUACUAAAGUACCACUUCUUCCACAAGUAUUUGUGGAAGGAGGGCACACAAAGUGUCUUCUUUCACUUUCAGGCUCAGAGGAAAGUGUUGGCUGUAGGUGUUAUUGUACUAACAUUGAUUGUACUGCUAUAAUAAAUGCAUCUGUCCAACACUUCAGAAAUAUUUGGGGAAGUAAUAGCUGUGCUUUUUCAGUCUCGUUGAAAUUCAAGAUGAAAAGAUUGACUUCCUAUCUAGGUCCAUAUAACCUGUUUCCUUCUUUGCACAGUUCAAAAACGUCUCCUGCUCUCCAUUUCUCAACCUGUCAGAGCACUGGGGUUCUAGCAGAAGAGCAGUAAGUGAGCUGAUGGGUUGAUGGGUGGACUAGAGGAUCUUAGUGGUCUUUUCCAACCUUAAUGAUUCUAUGAUUCUAAAUGCAGCCAGCAUGCCACUCCUAGCAGCCCAGUGAGGCAACUGGGCUGCUCACAGAGUAAGAUGUUAGAGCUGAAUGCAUUUCCUGGGAGAGAGGAAGGACCAUGCAAGCAAACAAGAGCUCAGCCAACUUCUCAAAGGAGGAGGUUUUCUGAAACCAGUGUGAGAUUUAUCCAAAGUCCCAACCAAAAAAAAAAAAAAAAAAAAAAAAAAAAAAAAAAAAAAAGUGCAGAUUUACAGGGACAGGACUCACUGGACUUGGCAGAACCCAUCCAAAUUCCUCCAUUUACUCAACUGCUGUAAAUGAAAAGGAAAAAUAAUAAUAUUUUUGCAAGCAAAAUCCAGCAACACAGCAAAGAAAUGAGAAGCAGAGAAAUGAGCCUGAUUCAGACAAAAUGCUACAGAUACAGAUCAGCCUUGCUCACCACAGCCGUUCCCCACCACCAGAAACUUUCUGGUUUGAAUAAAUAAGGGUUUGGAGUGUGGGUAGUUCUCAGAUCCAAGACAGCUUUUAAAUCUGUCUACCUCUUAGCAAAACUCAGCUCUAAUCCUAGUGUAAGCAAAUGGAUGUUAGUAAAACAAAAGUAUUAAACAGCUUCCCGAUCUCCUUCUCCCGCUCUUCCUGCUCUCCUUCUUUCCCCUCCAGCCAUUCUUUGCCAUAUCUGCAGCAUCAGGCUGUAUUCUUAAUAGGCAGCUUGAUAAGUCUAUCCAUUGUGACCACAAUCUUUGCCAAAGCUGGAGGCUUUAAAGCCUAAAAUGGUGCGCUGCCACUUUUGGGAUUAAAGACACUAAAGGCCGUCUGGAUGGAGCAUCAAUAGAUUGUUUCUCUGAGGAUGAGAUAGCAAGGGAGUAAAGAAACACGCACCUAU
rnacentral:lncRNA from 1 species